UAUAAGAAGAUAUGAUAUAUGAUAUGAUAUAAGAAGAGAGUGAAAUGAUAACACAUGGCCAAUCACAGAACACUUGAGGUUAGUAACGCACAAAACAGCCAAUUAAAAUUGAGAACGCAUGUGUGUAAAAAGGUAAUAAUUUUUAAUAAUACUGCUUGCUAAAAUGUUACAACUAAACUUACCAUCUAAAGCUGAGUAGCGAUUUUUAUUUUAUUUUGAGUUUGUCUAAUACUGAUGUCAGAGUUUUCCAUUGUUGCCCGUGCAUUUCUAUUGGCCUGAAAAUCACGAGGAAAUUAUAAACUUUAGAGCUUCAAGCAGAUCUUGUUGUUCUUCGUAUUUUAUAAUAAAACCCAAAAGAUUCAUGUGUGCAGACAAAGUUACGUAUACAAAGUGAUCACAAGUUUUUUUUAAUUUUUUUUUUUAAUUUUUUUUUUUUUUAAAAACUUAGA